CCUACGGGUGGCAGCAGUAGGGAAUCUUCCACAAUGGGCGCAAGCCUGAUGCAGCAACGCCGCGUGGGUGAUGAAGGUCUUCGGAUCGUAAAACCCUGUUGUUAGAGAAGAAAGUGCGUGAGAGUAACUCUUCACGUUUCGACGGUAUCUAACCAGAAAGCCCCGGCUAACUACGUGACAGCAGCCGCGGUAAUACGUAGGUGGCAAGCGUUAUCCGGAUUUAUUGGGCGUAAAGGGAACGCAGGCGGUCUUUUAAGUCUGAUGUGUAAGCCUUCGGCUUAACCGGAGUAGUGCAUUGGAAACUGGGAGACUUGAGUGCAGAAGAGGUGGGUGGAACUCGAUGUGUAGCGGUGAAAUGCGUAGAUAUAUGGAAGAACACCAGUGGCGAAAGCGGCUCUCUGGUCUGUAACUGACGCUGAGGUUCGAAAGCGUGGGUAGCAAACAGGAUUAGAUACCCUUGUAGUC
rnacentral:rRNA from 1 species